rnacentral:rRNA from 1 species
GAUGAACGCUGGCGGCGUGCCUAAUACAUGCAAGUCGAGCGAACUGAUUAGAAGCUUGCUUCUAUGACGUUAGCGGCGGACGGGUGAGUAACAUGUGGGCAACCUGCCUGUAAGACUGGGAUAACUUCGGGAAACCGAAGCUAAUACCGGAUAGGAUCUUCUCCUUCAUGGGAGAUGAUUGAAAGAUGGUUUUGGCUAUCACUUACAGAUGGGCCCGCGGUGCAUUAGCUAGUUGGUGAGGUAACGGCUCACCAAGGCAACGAUGCAUAGCCGACCUGAGAGGGUGAUCGGCCACACUGGGACUGAGACACGGCCCAGACUCCUACGGGAGGCAGCAGUAGGGAAUCUUCCGCAAUGGACGAAAGUCUGACGGAGCAACGCCGCGUGAGUGAUGAAGGCUUUCGGGUCGUAAAACUCUGUUGUUAGGGAAGAACAAGUACAAGAGUAACUGCUUGUACCUUGACGGUACCUAACCAGAAAGCCACGGCUAACUACGUGCCAGCCGCCGCGGUAAGAC